rnacentral:misc_RNA from 1 species
GCAAACUUGGUCAUUUAGAGGAAGUAAAAGUCGUAACAAGGUUUCCGUAGGUGAACCUGCGGAGGGAUCAUUACAAGAGAGUUGAGAGACUCGAAAACCCUUUGUGAACAUACCUGAUUAUCAUGUUGCUCUGGCAGGCGGCCCCUGGGAGGGGCCUCCGCCGCCCGGUCAGUAAACCGGGUGCCUGCCAGACGACACACUUAAAUUCUAUAGUAUCACAAUUUUAUCUGAGACUAAAAACAAAUUAGUUAAAACUUUCAACAACGGAUCUCUUGGUUCUGGCAUCGAUGAAGAACGCAGC